UUUACUUGAUUUUGUUAUGGGGGUUUCUUUUGUUUGAUCUGGGGGUUAAAUUUUAACCAUCUAAUUUCAGGUUUGUACAUCUUUGUUAGGUAGUAAAUAUAAGAUAGUACACAUGUGUUCCUGUUUUGACCGUAUCUUAUUGAAAAAAGACCUGCAAUGAAAGUGACCACACAUUAAGGAUCCAACAAGACUGUAUCUUCUUGAAAAGAGACCUGCAAUGAAAGUGACCACACAUGGAUCCAACAACUUAUGAUCUAUCUUCCUCCUCUUUAAGAACAAGUAGAUUCAACAACUUUUUCAUUCAACCUCAGAUCUCUAGUUAUAAGCUGUUUAUACAAAUUCUGCAACCAGGAUAGGAUGAGGUUUAUUAGGAUAAGUAGAGCAAACCUUCAGUGGCGUCUUGUUGAACGGCACGCAUUCAAAUCAGCUAUCAACAUGACAUGUUUUUGAGCUUUAGAAAGAUAAACUUCAACAAAUUUUAUAUAAAGAUGGGGAAUAGUGCCAGGCAGCUGCCUGACACUUCUUCAUUGGUCCAGGUAUAUUACGAUUUUACCCUAAGUUUAAAUCAUGAAUGUGCCCUCUGUUCAAAGUUACGGUUUUGCCCCUGAUUAAAAAUUAUAGUAUUUCCAUCGCUUUAACUUUUGGCAAAUUAUGAUUUUUCCAUAGCCAAAAAUUACACUUUUGUCCCUAGUUAAAAAUUACAGUAUUGUCAUCUUUUAGUUUUUUUUAAAUCCCCCGUUGGCUCGUGUAUGAUACGAUUUUACCCUAGUUAAAAAUUACGAAUUUGCUCCUGUUCAAAGUUACGAUUUUGCCCCUAGUUAAAAAUUACAGUAUUGCCAUCGUUUUACCUUUUGACAAAUUACGAUUUUACCUCCAGCCAAAAAUUACAAUUUUGCCCCAGCUCAAAAUUACAGUUUUGCCAUCGUUUUAGUUUUUUAGCAAAACUAUAGAAGUGUUCCGUUUUAAUUGUUUGACUCGAUUUAAUUUUUUUUCGUGUUAAGUAGUUGCCUAACAUUCGCUCAUUAGUCCUGACAUAUUACAGUUUUGCCUCGAGCUCAAAAUUACGGUCUUGCCAUUGUUUUAGUUUUUUUCUAGCAAAACUAUUGUAGUGUGUUUUUAGUUGUUUGAGAAUUACUCGGCCUACCGCCCCGCAACGUGGGCGGGGCAUCAACUGGUUAUAUACAAAACCAAUCGAGGGGAAUAGUGCCAGGCAGCUGCCUGGCACUCCCCAUUGGUCCGGGUAUAUUACGAUUUUCCCCUAAUUAAAACUUACAAAUUUGCCCCCUGUUCAGAGUUAUGAGUUUGUCCCUAGUUAAAAAUUAUUGUAUUGUCAUCGCUUUAGUUUUUUUGCAAAUUACAAUUUUACCCUAACCCAAAAUUACAAUUUUGCCCCAAUUAAAAAUUUACAGAAAAUUACAGUAUUGCAAUCGUUUUAUUUUUUUUUAAAGGUGUGUGGGGAAUAGUGCCAAGUUGCUGCAUGGCACGCCCCCACUGGCUCGGUUAUGUUACGAUUUUAUUCCCAGUUUAAAAUUACGAAUUUGAUCCUAUUCAAAAUUACGAUUUUGCCCAUGGUUUAAAAUUAUAGUAUUGAUAUCGCUUUAGCUUUUGGCAAAUUACGAUUUUACCCCAAGUCAAAAUAUACAAUUUUGCCCUCUGUUCAAAAUUACAGUAUUGCCAUCGUUUUAGUUUUUUUUUACCAAAACCAUAGAAGUGUUUUGUUUUAAUUGGUUGAGUCGAUUAAAUUUUUUUUUUCGUGUCAAGGAGUUGCCUAACACUCGCUCAUUAGUCCUGACAAAUUACAGUUUUGUCAUGAGCUCAAAAUUCUAGUCUUGCCAUCAUUUUAGUUUUUUUUUAACAAAACUAUUGUAGUGUUUUUUUAAUUGUUUGAGAAAUAUUCGACCUAUCGCCCCGCAACGCGGGCUAGGCAUCCACUAGUUGUAAAACAUCUUUGAUUCUGUCCAUGUUGGUUAAAAUCUCUAAGCCCACUAAAUUAGUUUCAGGCCCAUAUAUGAGAAUGUAAAUUGUAAAUAGUCAAAAGACAAAUCCCUUUUACCCUAAAUCCUCAACAUCGACGUCAAUCGUCAUCAUCAUCAUCGUCAUCCUCCAUCAACCUUCAUCGUCCACCGUCGUUCACUAUUAGGCAUUUUCCGUCUUCCAUACUACAUCGCCGCUCAUCAGGUUAUUGGUUUAUUCAUAAAAUGGAUCCGCGCAUUGAAACGCAGUCAACAGUACUAGGUCCUAACCAAAAAGGUUUCCAUUACUCGAUGAGAGAGUCCUACGAGGAGGUAUGGGAACAAAAAUUUGAGUCAUGUUUUUCCAACAGUUUGACUCACAUGCUCACUAUUCUCCACCGUAAGACACCCGGAAACGAACACCUACGCUUGUCGCCAAAUACUAUUUUAAGCUUGAUGCAGCCAAAUGGCAUCAUUCUUCCUAAAGAAGCGCUGCGUCAAGUUAUAAAUGAAGGGCUUGAAGAACUAGAGAUCAAGCAAGCCAUAUACGAGAAGGUCGAGAAUUUUCAAUACAAAGUGGGGAGUAAAAGAUAUAAACUGAAGAGUUUUGAGACUAUUACCAGACAUUUCAAUAUUUGCUAAAAAGUUGGCAGAAAACUUUAAUCUAUGAGGGUCUCGUUACCCGUUGUUAGGAUAUUGCUAUCCAAUAGAUAUCGUUGUCGAAAACCAAAUAGGUUGCCACGUUAGCAAGCAUGACCCAUAUCGCUGGGGUGCAUUUAAUAGCUUAGAUGACUGUCUUCUUUACGAUGCACAUCACUUUCCCCACCCUAAAGCUUACCCGCAUUCGUUCUUGAUCACUGGAUUGUAUGUAAGGGUUGACAAUCAUAAGCUGAUGGAUCUUAGCGUUGAGGUAAAAAACUCGUGAGGAACAAAAUGGGGUGACGGAGCAUAUGCAUGGGUGACGCUGGAUAUUUUCCAUCACGUUGGUGUACCGAGUAUUUAGAGAUGAAGAUGGAGUGAUGAAGAUCUGAUCAAUGUUUAAACUGUUGUUUAACUAACUUAACUAAUGAGUUAUCAUUGUUACUAUUUUUUUUUUUUUGCAAUUUGCUGAUGAAAUUAGUGCUUGACUAUGGUUAGAUUUGCUGAUGAAAUUAGUAUUUGAUUGCUGUUCCAAAUACAGUUUCAUUUAUGGAUUGUGUAUUCUAUUUAAGGUUUUGUAUGACGACGAUGGAUUGUUUCGGGUUUUGCGUUUCAGCAACCUACAUUUCAUCAUCUAUAGCCAUCAAAAAUGUUCCUUUAGAGGUUUUUCA